AGCGGCUCCCGGUGGCGGGUCCCCCCGGGGCGCGCAGAGCGGGACGGUCGGGGAGUCAGCGCGGAAAGGGUUUGCAGCCCGCGGCCCCUGUGAUUGCGGCUGGCGGCUCGCUCCACGGCUCCCCCGGCGCUCCUCGGCUUCCCUUCGGCGGCUCGCGUCCCGGAGUAGAGAGGUAGGGGCGGUGAUGAGUUGUCUCAGCCGAUCACGGAGCGGGUGGCUUCCUCUCUCCGUGGCACGGGUCCGGUUUCCUCUCUCCCGGAGACGUGCAGCAGCAGCAGUAAAGGACUUCAGGACUCGAUUCUGUCUAGAAACAAAUGAUGAAGUCACAAGGGAGGGUUCCUCCUGAGGCAGCUGCUCCCUGGACAACAGCAGACCACAUACGGGAACCGAGACACAGAGUCACACAAGAAGUUUGUGUCACGGCCGGGAAUGGAGCCCAGCUCUCCCUCAGGGCCGAGGCUCGCUCCUCAGCUACCACACAGUCCUUCUCCAAACCCUGCAACUCAACUCAUCUCUAGUGGAGUCUAUGAAGAUUCAGGUAGCGUUGCUGUGCUGUUUAAAGGCUGCCACCCUGCACUGCAGGAGUGGAACCCUGGAACUGUGGCUACAUUUCGUGGAUGGUUGAAACGAUCGCUCUGUGAAUGAAGGCCAAAUCAGUGGAGUUGCACUAGUGUAACCGACAUAUCCAGGUUAACAAGCUGUCAUAAAUAUAAAGGGAAGGGUAACCACCUUUCUGUAUACAGAACUAUAAAAUCCCUCCUGGCCAGAGUCAAAACUCUUUCACCUGUAAAG